AUGAUUUCUCACAUUAAUUGGGUAUAUGAUUGGAAAUUUUGUAACUUUCUAGUAUAAAAGUUGAAAUAUUUGUUCUAAUACCUCUCUUGAUCUUAUUGCAGUGUAACAUAUAUGUUACAUGUAACUGAAAGUACAUAUUGGACUUGUUGGUUCUUUUUCACUACUUUCAUAGUCUUACAUUUUCAUCCAUCAUUGUUGCACUCAUACUGUGUACUGAAAAUUUCAUACAUACAUCUUCAAUCAAUAGUCCCUUUCUCUGAUCAGUAAGCAUAUGAUCAGAUUCCUCAUAUACUACUCUAGCUAGUAAUCAUCGAUCCUCUGUGAAACAAACAUCCUCCAGCUGCAAAACAUUAAUCAAAAAAAGGUUUCAGAGCUAUUGCCGGAUUAACAAAUAUGGAAAAAAAGGUUCUAACUGAAACAGAACAGACCAGAAGGUUCAAACUUGCCAUCCAUCAUCUCUGAAGAACCUGCAGUCACUAACAAAUUUCAUACUUUGGUAGAAGAGAACCCUAUGUCAUAGAAAACUCAAGUUCAGCAUCAACGGUCUGAUCUUAGAAACCGAGCCGGUUACAAAACAUUAAUUUUUUAGAUUUAAUUCCAAACCAAGCAAAUCAACUGUCGGUUAACCGCUAAACAAUAACAAACCGAGCUGGUUAGCAAACAUUUACUUUUAGAUUUAAUUCCGGUACAAUAAACCCCAAAUUGUGAAAAAAAGGAAACAACAAAUCAACGGUCGGAUCAAUAUAGAGUUUUAGAAAAAAGGAAAUAAAACAUCCCUCUCUGUCUAUAUAUAUGAUUCACUCAUUCAUUCUGUCAUUCACCCUUUAAGAAAUCGAUUCUGGUAUCUCUUUCUCUGGUUAAGAUAAGCAAUCUUCAUCUUUAUCACAUCUGAAAUUCGGGUUUGCGUCCUUCUUCUUUUUUUCUGCGGCCAUGGAGACAGAAACUAAUGACACAGUCGAAGUCAACACGUUGGUGUCUAACCUAGCUCAAAACAUGGAAUCUACGAACACAGUCUCGAUCCGUCUACACGAACUGAUCCUCGAAGACGAAAGUGGAGUGGCAACACAUUUAGGAUCAUAUCGCAUCUGCUAUAAGCCACGUGACGGCUUCACUGCAAGUGAUCUCUCUCAGUUCCUUCACGAACAAGAGGUUCCUCAUUCUCAACAAUUAGGUGAAGUAAUCGACGGUGAGAUCAAUCAUUCGCUUGCUAUUGAUAUUUCUCUUCGAGAACCUGUUUUUGUAACAGUCAAUAUCAAUUUCAUACAAGACAGGCGACCUAAGGAUCUGAAAGAACGUUCAAUAGCAGUUAUCAAGAGAUUACUGAAAGAACAGAGAAUGGAACCGAUGGAUCUGAAAGAAACAAGUGAUAUUAAGUGUUCGAUUUGUAUUGAGGAUUUUUCGGACAGUCACGAAAGCAUCAUCUGGAUGCCUCAAUGCAAACAUGUGUUCCAUCAAGGUUGUCUCUUUGAAUGGCUUAGUCGGCAAAACUCGUGUCCCUUGUGUCGGAGUACUGUUCCUAUGGAAGAUCAAGAAGCAGAGAAUCAAAUAAUGGAUUGUUCAUAGACUAGAAGUUUCAGGGUUUUGAAUAUUUCGUUUGACAUUGACCUUUUUUUAGAUAAUUUUUUACUUGCAGUUAUUCAUCAGAAGCAUAACUUUGUUUAUGGAUUAAAUUCUGAAUAAGAUAAAAAAAUCUUCAUUUUUUUACUUGAAAACAACAGGUUACUACUUCGUUGUAUAAUGUGCAUAUUGAUGGCUUGUUGACUCUUAUCUCUACUUUCAUGUUUCUGCAGUUUGAUCUUCCUGUUUGAUGCAUUUGUCUCUUGAGAAUUUUUCAUUAUUAUAUUGCCUUGCCUGCAUUUGAAUUGGAUACUGCAGAUUCCAUACAACAUCUUCUGAUCCACGAUCGCUUGUUCUGAUCCUCAGCGACGAUCAUAUGUUCUUCUUAACAGAUGAGAUAUGCCUAGAGCUCAGUUUUGCUUGUUUAUCUUUAACAAAAACAUUCUUCAGCUGCAAAAAGUUAAAAGAUAAGAAAGGUUCUGACUGAAACAGAACAGACAUCAGACAUGAAGCUUCAAACUUUACAUCAUCACUGAAGAAAUCUACAGCCACAUCUUUUGGUAUAAAAUUUGAAUUUUUUCUUCAGUUGUAGUAAUAUAACGUUGUUAUGGAAAAAACCUUUCUUUAUGAAUUUCCCAACAUAUGAAGUGGUGUAGCCAAUAAAGAUUGAGACAGAGAUAUAUAUAUUUUCUUUGUUAAAAUAUAAUGAAGAGGAUGAACUGCAACAACAACUAAAUAGUAUCAUAAAAACUGAGUGAGUGACCUGAGACCACCAUUAACGCGAGAUCUUAGGAGAGGUGCUUAGAUUAUUUUGUAAUUAAAGAAAAAGAAAAAUGACAAUUAUCUGAAGCAGCGACGCUUAAUUAGGAGAAGGAAGCGCCGGGUCUUAAGGGACACGUGUUACAAUUAGAGAGAGUUUGGUCUGAAACUCCUUUCUCUCUCUCAACGAGCAAAGAGAUGAUUCACUACUCCUCUUCUUCUUCUCGGUUGAUCUCCUCCUCAGCAACACCAAAGCGUCUCUCUUUUCUUCUUCUCCAUAUUCUUUAUGUUUCAUUCUUUCUUAAAUCGAAAAACCCUUCAAUUAUAAUUGGAUCUGUUCUUCAAGAAGAGGAUAAAAGUCUGUAUCUUUUCGCAGUGAAUCCUUCUUCAGCAACAGGGUCUUGGAGUUUUCUACGAAAUUUGAUUUGGGUUUUCGUUUUUUAGGUUGAAUUGGCAAAAAGGGCCCAUCUUGUGUUCGAUGAUAUUCCCCAGAGAGAAAAGGCGAAGACUUUUUUGUAUUUGGGAUUUUUGUGUUGUUUUGUGGGAGGGAAUAGAGAGAGAUGGCAGGUGAAGAUUGGAUAGAGCUCAAGUUUAAAUUCGCUGAUGGCCUAAAGACUCAGAAAACAUUCCUAAGACUCUAAAUGAUGUGAAGCUCAUCAAUGCCGGGAAGAUACUAGACAACAAUAGGACACUGGCUGAAUCAACGCUUCCCGUUGGCGAACUUCCCGGAAUGGUCAUCACUAUGCAUGUUGUUCUUCGCCCUCCUACUUUAGACAAAAAGAGCCGUAAAUGUUUCUUUGCCUUCCUCCUAUGCUAAUAUAAAAGCAGGCUUCCUUUGAUUCUCUAGUUGCUUGUGAUUAUGGUAUUCAGAUUCCAAACUUCCAUGUUUUGCAAAUGGUUUUAUACAUAUAUUCCUAUAAAUUUUAUCUUAAAUAAAACAAUGCUUAAUUUUU